AUAUUGCACAAUGGGGGAAACCCUGAUGCAGCGACGCCGCGUGAGCGAAGAAGUAUUUCGGUAUGUAAAGCUCUAUCAGCAGGGAAGAAGAAUGACGGUACCUGACUAAGAAGCUCCGGCUAAAUACGUGCCAGCAGCCGCGGUAAUACGUAUGGAGCAAGCGUUAUCCGGAUUUACUGGGUGUAAAGGGAGCGUAGGCGGUCUGACAAGUCAGAAGUGAAAGCCCGGGGCUCAACCUCGGGACUGCUUUUGAAACUGCCGGACUAGAUUGCAGGAGAGGUAAGUGGAAUUCCUAGUGUAGCGGUGAAAUGCGUAGAUAUUAGGAGGAACACCAGUGGCGAAGGCGGCUUACUGGACUGUAAAUGACGCUGAGGCUCGAAAGCGUGGGGAGCAAACAG
rnacentral:rRNA from 1 species